rnacentral:tRNA from 1 species
CAGGGAGACAACAAAAUGUUUAAUAUUAUUAUUUUGUCACCUUAGGUCGAUCGGUAUCUCGCGUUCUUAAUUUAUUAAGAAUUUCAUUUCCUAAGUUUUUCUAGGUCACACCCAUUUUUUUUCCUGGGCCAUUAGCUCAGGUGGUUAGAGCGCACCCCUGAUAAGGGUGAGGUCCCUGGUUCAAGUCCAGGAUGGCCCAUAUCUCUAUGUUGGGGGUAUAGCUCAGCUGGUAGAGCGCCUGCUUUGCAAGCAGGAUGUCAGCGGUUCGAGUCCGCUUACCUCCACUGAUUACCACCUCUUCCAUAAUCUUUAGAAAGGAAAAAUUUUGGAUUGUGACUAUUAUUCUGAACGAAUCUAGCUUCCUAAUGAGACCAUUAAGAUGCUGGACUCAUUGAAUUAAUUUCAUUGUUUUCAGAGAACCUUGACAACUGCAUAGAUUAUUUUUAAAGACAAUAAGCAUUUUUAAUGAUGCAGAUUUUUUAUUUUGCAAAUGCAUUAAUAACAAUUCUAUUAAGCUGAUGCUUCAAUUUUGAAGUUAUU